ensembl:snRNA U6 U6 spliceosomal RNA
GCUUGCUUUGGCGAUGCAUGUACUAAAAUUUGAAUGAUGCAAAUAAUAUUAGCUUGGUCCCUCUACAAAUACGGCACACAAACUCAUGAAGUGUUCCACACAUUU